rnacentral:rRNA from 1 species
AUGAACGCUAUCUACAGGCUUAACACAUGCAAGUCGAGGGGCAUCAGGAAGAAAGCUUGCUUUCUUUGCUGGCGACCGGCGCACGGGUGAGUAACACGUAUCCAACCUGCCCUUUACUCGGGGAUAGCCUUUCGAAAGAAAGAUUAAUACCCGAUGGCAUAAUGAUUCCGCAUGGUUUCAUUAUUAAAGGAUUCCGGUAAAGGAUGGGGAUGCGUUCCAUUAGGUUGUUGGUGAGGUAACGGCUCACCAAGCCUUCGAUGGAUAGGGGUUCUGAGAGGAAGGUCCCCCACAUUGGAACUGAGACACGGUCCAAACUCCUACGGGAGGCAGCAGUGAGGAAUAUUGGUCAAUGGGCGCUAGCCUGAACCAGCCAAGUAGCGUAAAGGAUGAAGGCUCUAUGGGUCGUAAACUUCUUUUAUAUAAGAAUAAAGUGCAGUAUGUAUACUGUUUUGUAUGUAUUAUAUGAAUAAGGAUCGGCUAACUCCGUGCCAGCAGCCGCGGUAAUACGGAGGAUCCGAGCGUUAUCCGGAUUUAUUGGGUUUAAAGGGAGCGUAGGUGGACUGGUAAGUCAGUUGUGAAAGUUUGCGGCUCAACCGUAAAAUUGCAGUUGAUACUGUCAGUCUUGAGUACAGUAGAGGUGGGCGGAAUUCGUGGUGUAGCGGUGAAAUGCUUAGAUAUCACGAAGAACUCCGAUUGCGAAGGCAGCUCACUGGACUGCAACUGACACUGAUGCUCGAAAGUGUGGGUAUCAAACAGGAUUAGAUACCCUGGUAGUCCACACAGUAAACGAUGAAUACUCGCUGUUUGCGAUAUACAGUAAGCGGCCAAGCGAAAGCAUUAAGUAUUCCACCUGGGGAGUACGCCGGCAACGGUGAAACUCAAAGGAAUUGACGGGGGCCCGCACAAGCGGAGGAACAUGUGGUUUAAUUCGAUGAUACGCGAGGAACCUUACCCGGGCUUAAAUUGCAGUGGAAUGAUGUGGAAACAUGUCAGUGAGCAAUCACCGCUGUGAAGGUGCUGCAUGGUUGUCGUCAGCUCGUGCCGUGAGGUGUCGGCUUAAGUGCCAUAACGAGCGCAACCCUUAUCUUUAGUUACUAACAGGUUAUGCUGAGGACUCUAGAGAGACUGCCGUCGUAAGAUGUGAGGAAGGUGGGGAUGACGUCAAAUCAGCACGGCCCUUACGUCCGGGGCUACACACGUGUUACAAUGGGGGGUACAGAAGGCAGCUAGCGGGUGACCGUAUGCUAAUCCCAAAAGCCUCUCUCAGUUCGGAUCGAAGUCUGCAACCCGACUUCGUGAAGCUGGAUUCGCUAGUAAUCGCGCAUCAGCCACGGCGCGGUGAAUACGUUCCCGGGCCUUGUACACACCGCCCGUCAAGCCAUGGGAGCCGGGGGUACCUGAAGUACGUAACCGCAAGGAUCGUCCUAGGGUAAAACUGGUGACUGGGG